ensembl:lncRNA
UGAAAAUCAGUGAUAUUUAUUUGCCCCAGGCUAUGACGUACAACCACAAAGACACUGUGCAAAGAAAGCAAAGAUUAAGUCACACUUAUGGAGAGUCGGCGAGCACAUUUUACACAAACAAAAAAAUGAUAUAUCUGCAGUAUAUUUCCGAAAGAGUUCAUGCUACAAACGACAAGAUAAACCGAUAAAAUGAGGGCUUGGAGCUAAUUCACAAGGAAACACAAACACCUCAAUCAAAAUGUAGAAAUCAAUACAUUGUUUAAAAUAUACCGUUACAGUCAUUCAAAAGUUUAAAUCUUAUAACACUGUUUUGUCAUAUUUGUUGUUGUCAGCUGUGUUUCAAAGUCCGCAAAAAAAAAAAUCUAGCAAAGACUUGUUUUUAUUUUCUCUAAACGCUACAGGUGCUGCUACGAUAGAUGCUGAAUUAAAUCCAAGAUGAUUCCCCGUUAAUCUGCUUCUCUGAAAUGAGAUACUGCUCUUAAGGCUGAUUUCUCAAUCAAAAUAAUCAAAACGUUUCUUUCUGUCAAUGAGAAAAUGAGGCUGAUACACAACUUGUUGAAAGAAGAAAGAAUACAUGGAACACAUGGACUUGCCUAAAUGAUGGAUGAGUACAUUUUAGUUAAUAAAAGCUGUUUAUAAAACAUUCAGCAUGUAUGGCAUCUCUAGAGAAUUAUAAAUAUAAUCAUUUUAGGUACAUUUGUCUGUGCUUUCACAAACGUGGUGUUUUUGGAUUUGACCGUUGGCUGAACCCUGCCGUUUGUAGACUAGAAAUUCUCAUGUUUAGCUAAUAGGUCCUUCCACCUCCAAUCAAAACUGUUAAAAAUAUGUCAAGAUGCGAUAAAUUUCCCACUAAAAAACUCCUACUAUCCCAACAGAUCUGUGUGUUUGGUUCUAUUGUUGAUGCCCAUCUAAUAGUGAUAAUUCCCAAAGAAAUGACACAAACCUCCUUCAAAUAAAGGAGAUUUAAAUCAGAGCAUCAGUAAAAUCAGAUAGAUGGGAGUAUUUGGACUGCAGAGAUCCUUCAUGUGUAGUUCUACUUUAAUUAGCUUCUCAUAUUAACCUGCCAUGUAUUACUUAAAGGAACAUUUUGCCAAGUGGAACCUAGUUAUUUGUCACUCAGCAGUUAGAUUUUAAGAUCCACAGUGGAUUUUCUAUAUUUCUGAGGGCAACUGUGGCAGCCUAGACACAACUUUUAUUGGUUUAUGGUGAUAAAGUGGUGUCUAAAAAUGAAAAAUAUGUCCAUAUUUUUUUAAAAAAUCAAUUUUGAAACUAUUUGGGUCAUGGUAUCUGCUCAUAUUUCUGUUUAUGUGCUACUACUUGUAAUAUCUGCUCAUUCAGUUGUAAAAGUUUAAUUUUAAAUAUUCAUAGGUGAUGAUGAAAAAGUUUAAAGCAAAUCAGAGCUGGACGAGAACUCUGACCAUCUAGUAGUGGCUCAAUUAGCAACGUCCAUAUAGUUUUUAAUUCUUCUCGAUGAGAGAACCUUGUAUAAAGAGUCUAAAAUAACCACACAAAUAUAAAUGCUGACAUGUCUGAGUAAAGGCAUCUUCGCCAGUUUUGAUCCAUGUGAUGAACAUAGAGGUUAGUAGAUCCUGGAUUGCAAUGUAAAGAUGUUAAUCUGGCUUUAAAUGGAAGCUGUUUGUUUACCCUUUAAGAAAAGUUUUUUAGAAAGAGGACAUACUCUGAAAACACAA